rnacentral:rRNA from 1 species
AUUGAACGCUGGCGGCAGGCCUAACACAUGCAAGUCGAGCGAGCGGCGGACGGGUGAGUAAUGUCUGGGAAACUGCCUGAUGGCGGGGGAUAACUACUGGAAACGGUAGCUAAUACCGCAUACCAUCAGAUGUGCCCAGAUUGGAUUAGCUAGUAGGUGGGGUAACGGCUCACCUAGGCGACGAUCCCUAGCUGGUCUGAGAGGAUGACCAGCAAGACUAGAACUGAGACACGGUCCAGACUCCUACGGAGGGCAGCAGUGGGGAAUAUUGCACAAUGGGCGAAAGCCUGAUGCAGCCAUGCCGCAUGUGUGAAGAAGGCCUUCGGGUUGUAAAGCACUUUCAGCGGAGGGGCGUUACCCGCAGAAGAAGCACCGGCUAACUCCAUGCCAGCAGCCGCGGUAAUAC